UUUUGUUUGGACAUCUUGUUUUAUCACAUCUUUAGCAAAAUUGUCAGGUAUGAACGAAGAGUCAAGAUUGGUAGGAAACGGAAGUUUCCAAAGAAACGUAAACAGAAGUUACAGAUGAAGGUGUAUAAAUCAGAGAAUAUUCAAGUUGGAUCCCGCAGUAAAAUGUUAUCGCCGUUGAAUGUAAAUGUUAAUGCCGUUGAGGUAGAAGAAGCGCCCACUGGCACUUACAGAGAAAUUACUCCAGAAAUGAUACACGAGGCUCUUAGAAGAUUAACUAUGUGGAGGCAAAAUGUUGAAACGGGUGCAAUAUAUGACUUUAUUCAAAGAAAUUACCCAGUAAAUCAGGAUAAGGAAGCAUUGGCUGUAGAACUUUGGGAAAAACUCGAAGUAGCCGUUUUAGUCGAAUAAUAAUAUAUAAGGAAUACUUGUGCGCACUGUUGAUAUAUCUUCAAAUAUUUAGGAAUCGCAACACAAACAUCAAUCGACACUUGGACUUUAUGUGGUGCCUUGGAACGGCCAAAGUUUAAUGACACACAUGUAACCUUAUUCUGGAAGGUCUACAGGGAUACCAUGUCUCCACUAAAUAAGCCAAAUAAGUUUAUUCAUCGGUACGGAUAUUGAAAGAACUCAAGGGUGAACGUCACAAUUAUUGGAAUUGGAACUUAUGCCGAUUCGAACCAAUUAUCAAAUCAAUCCCGGCAAUUGUAAUAAUAAGUUGUCAUGCUUCUACUAAAGAAUUAAAAAGCGUUGAAUUCGAAUAAUUAUUUGUUUAAUGUAGAAAAAUAUUAAGCGAUUUUUUUUCAGACUAUGGAUACUUCGAAAGAUACAAGUGAGAAGCAAACACUACGUGUUUACGAUGUCGAUGUAUUGUGAUUUUUUAUUUAUUAAACUUUGUAAGGGAACGUGUCCCAUGAAAAAAUGUUUUUCAUAUAUUAAACCAAAAAGCACAAUUAA